AUGAACGCUGGCGGCGUGCCUCAUACAUGCAAGUCGAGCGAACAGACGAGGAGCUUGCUCCUCUGACGUUAGCGGCGGACGGGUGAGUAACACGUGGAUAACCUACCUAUAAGGCUGGGAUAACUUCGGGAAACCGGAGCUAAUACCGGAUAAUAUAUUGAACCGCAUGGUUCAAUAGUGAAAGACGGUUUUGCUGUCACUUAUAGAUGGAUCCGCGCCGCAUUAGCUAGUUGGUAAGGUAACGGCUUACCAAGGCAACGAUGCGUAGCCGACCUGAGAGGGUGAUCGGCCACACUGGAACUGAGACACGGUCCAGACUCCUACGGGAGGCAGCAGUAGGGAAUCUUCCGCAAUGGGCGAAAGCUUGACGGAGCAACGCCGCGUGAGUGAUGAAGGUCUUCGGAUCGUAAAACUCUGUUAUUAGGGAAGAACAAAUGUGUAAGUAACUAUGCACGUCUUGACGGUACCUAAUCAGAAAGCCACGGCUAACUACGUG
rnacentral:rRNA from 1 species